AUUGAACGCUGGCGGAAUGCUUUACACAUGCAAGUCGAACGGCAGCACGGGUGCUUGCACCUGGUGGCGAGUGGCGAACGGGUGAGUAAUGCACCGGAACGUAUCCAAUAAUGGGGGAUAACGCACCGAAAGGUGUGCUAAUACCGCAUACGCCCUGAGGGGGAAAGCGGGGGGAUCGUAAGACCUCGCGUUAAUGGAGCGGCCGAUGCCGGAUUAGCUAGUUGGUGAGGUAAAGGCUCACCAAGGCGACGAUCCGUAGCUGGUCUGAGAGGACGACCAGCCACACUGGAACUGAGACACGGUCCAGACUCCUACGGGAGGCAGCAGUGGGGAAUUUUGGACAAUGGGCGCAAGCCUGAUCCAGCCAUUCCGCGUGAGUGAAGAAGGCCUCGGUUGUUAAAGGACUCUUUCGCUAAGGAAAGAAAACGUUAAUACUCCUAAUACGAGGUGAGGUUGACGGUACCUUGAUAAGAAGCACCGGCUAACUACGUAGCCAGCAGCCGCGGUAA
rnacentral:rRNA from 1 species